UCAUUCUAAGAAUCGCAUCUGCACAUCUAGCUGGGCAUCCUACCUUGAACAGUUAAAAAAUCAGAUCUGCUUUACUUCUAAUUUUAGAAGGAACUGGGCUGACCUUCAUUCCGCUGUUGCUAACUGGAGCCCCGUUACCUGGGUGACUGGAUUCACAAUAUGUCAGUAUGCAAAUCCCAUCUGCCCAGGAGGAGAAGGCAAGAAAGGCCUUGCUCCUCCUGGGGCUGCCAGCAGGAUCUGGAAACAGCUCCCUUUGGAGCCCGAGGAAGGUCCUGUAACAGAAAGAAAUAGGGAAAGGAAAGGGGAUGGCUAGAGCCUUGUUUCCCCUGCCUCCAUCCUACUUCAUGACUUUGCUCUGGGGUGGAGUGGAGAUCGGGGUAUCCAUGGCUUACAUACUCUCUGUAUGUCUUCAAAGGUGGAGUAGUCAC
rnacentral:lncRNA from 1 species